rnacentral:rRNA from 1 species
UGUGGAUUAAUAAAAUCGGAGGCCACGACUGUUUACUAAAAACACAUUUCAGAGCAAUNAUUAANAUAAUAGUAUUCUGAAUGAAAUUUGCUCAAUGCCAUUAAUAUAAAAGAGGUAAUUUUAAAGUUACUAAUUGAAAGUCUGGUUAAUAGCGGUCUUAACUAUGAGGAUCCUAAGGUAGCAAAAUAAAUUGGCCAUUAAAUGUGGUCUAGUAUCAAUAAUGUAACGAUGGUCUCACUGUCUCUACAACUUNCUCAGUGAAAUUGAAUUGCGAGUGCAGAUGCUCGCUAUCUUCAGAGGGACGGGAAGACCCUAU